rnacentral:rRNA from 1 species
UCGAGAAUUUUCCGCAAUGGGCGCAAGCCUGACGGAGCAAUGCCGCGUGAGGGAUGAAGGUCUUCGGAUUGUAAACCUCUGUCACUGGGGAGGAACACAAUGACUGUACCCAGGGAGGAAGUCACGGCUAACUACGUGCCAGCAGCCGCGGUAAUACGUAGGUGACAAGCGUUGUUCGGAUUUACUGGGCGUAAAGGGUCCGCAGGGGGCCUAUCAAGUCUGAUGUGAAAUACCGGAGCUCAACUCCGGAACUGCAUUGGAUACUGCUAGGCUAGAGUAUCGGAGAGGAGAGUAGAAUUCCAGGUGUAGCGGUGGAAUGCGUAGAUAUCUGGAAGAAUACCAAAGGCGAAGGCAGCUCUCUGGACGAUGUCUGACCCUCAGGGACGAAAGUGUGGGGAGCAAACA